rnacentral:rRNA from 1 species
CACGGAGGGUGCAAGCGUUAUUCGGAAUCACUGGGCGUAAAGAGCGCGUAGGCGGUCUCUUAAGUCAGAUGUGAAAGCCCGGGGCUCAACCCCGGAAGUGCAUUUGAAACUAAGGGACUUGAGUAUGGGAGAGGGAAGUGGAAUUCCUGGUGUAGCGGUGAAAUGCGUAGAUAUCGGGAGGAACACCGGUGGCGAUGGCGACUUCCUGGACCAAUACUGACGAUGAGGCGCGAAGGCGUGGGGAGCAAACAGG